rnacentral:rRNA from 1 species
GAUGAACGCUGGCGGCGUGCCUAAUACAUGCAAGUCGAGCGAACGGACGAGAAGCUUGCUUCUCUGAUGUUAGCGGCGGACGGGUGAGUAACACGUGGAUAACCUACCUAUAAGACUGGGAUAACUUCGGGAAACCGGAGCUAAUACCGGAUGAUAUUUUGAACCGCAUGGUCCAAAAGUGAAAGACGGUCUUGCUGUCACUUAUAGAUGGAUCCGCGCUGCAUUAGCUAGUUGGUAAGGUAACGGCUUACCAAGGCAACGAUGCAUAGCCGACCUGAGAGGGUGAUCGGCCACACGGGAACGGAGACACGGUCCAGACUCCUACGGGAGGCAGCAGUAGGGAAUCUUCCGCAAUGGGCGAAAGCCUGACGGAGCAACGCCGCGUGAGUGAUGAAGGUCUUCGGAUCGUAAAACUCUGUUAUUAGGGAAGAACAUAUGUGUAAGUAACUGUGCACAUCUUGACGGUACCUAAUCAGAAAGCCACGGCUAACUACGUG